rnacentral:rRNA from 1 species
CCUACGGGAGGCAGCAGUGGGAAGAGUGGGCAAGGGGCGAAAGCCGGACCCAGAAAGGGCGAAUGAAUGAAGAAGGGCUUAGGAUUGUAAAAGUCUGUUCUAUGGGAAGAAAAAAAUGACGGUACCACAGGAGGAAGCCCCGGCUAACUACGUGCCAGCAGCCGCGGUAAUACGGAGGGGGCGAGCGUUGUCCGGAAUUACUGGGGGUAAAGAGAGCGUAGGCGGCACUACAAGUCUCAUGUGAAAUAACCGGGCUUAACUUGGGGGUUGCAUGGGAAACUGUAGAGCUUGAGUACAGGAGAGGCAAGCGGAAUUCCUAGUGUAGCGGUGAAAUGCAUAGAUAUUAGGAGGAACACCAGUGGCGAAGGCGGCUUGCUGGACUGCAACUGACGCUGAGGCUCGAAAGCGUGGGGAGCAAACAGGAUUAGAUACCCGUGUAGUC